UGGGGAAUCUUGCGCAAUGGAGGAAACUCUGACGCAGCCACGCCGCGUGAGUGAAGAAGGCCUUAGGGUUGUAAAGCUCUGUCGCCUGGGACGAAAAACAUUAGGGUUAACAGCCCUAGUGUCUGACGGUACCAGGAAAGGAAGCACCGGCUAACUCCGUGCCAGCAGCCGCGGUAAUACGGAGGGUGCAAGCGUUGCUCGGAAUUAUUGGGCGUAAAGGGUAGGUAGGUGGUCUCAUUUGUCUGGGGUGAAAGCCUUGAGCUUAACUCAAGAAGUGCCCCAGAAACGGUGAGACUGGAGUCCUGGAGAGGGUCGUGGAAUUCCCGGUGUAGCGGUGAAAUGCGUAGAGAUCGGGAGGAACACCAGAGGCGAAGGCGGCGACCUGGACAGGUACUGACACUCAACUACGAAAGCGUGGGGAGCAAACAGGAUUAGAUACCCCGGUAGUCC
rnacentral:rRNA from 1 species